AUUGAACGCUGGCGGCAUGCCUUACACAUGCAAGUCGAACGGCAGCACGGGAGCAAUCCUGGUGGCGAGUGGCGAACGGGUGAGUAACAUAUCGGAACGUACCCAGUCGUGGGGGAUAACGUAGCGAAAGUUGCGCUAAUACCGCAUACGAUCUUUGGAUGAAAGCGGGGGAUCGCAAGACCUCGCGCGAUUGGAGCGGCCGAUAUCAGAUUAGGUGGUUGGUGGGGUAAGGGCUCACCAAGCCGCCGAUCUGUAGCUGGUCUGAGAGGACGACCAGACACACUGGGAGUGAGACACGGCCCAGACUCCUACGGGAGGCAGCAGUGGGGAAUUUUGGACAAUGGGCGCAAGCUUGAUCCAGCAAUGCCGCGUGCAGGACGAAGGCCUUCGGGUUGUAAACUGCUUUUGUACGGAACGAAACGGCCUUUUCUAAUACAAGAGGCUAAUGACGGUACCGUAAGAAUAAGCACCGGCUAACUACGUGCCAGCCGCCGCCGUAAUAC
rnacentral:rRNA from 1 species